GUAUAAACUAGGAUUAGAUACCCUAUUAUUUAAAAUAUAAUUAUAAAUACUUAAGUAGUAGUAGUUAUGUUCUUGAAACUUAAAAAAUUUGGCGGUAUUUUAGUCUAUCCAGAGGAACCUGUUUUGUAAUCGAUAAUCCACGAUGGACCUUACUUAAGUUUGUAAUCAGUUUAUAUACCGUCGUUAUCAGAAUAUUUUAUAAGAAUAAAAAUAUUCAAUAAUUUAUAUUAAAAUUUAUAUCAGAUCAAGGUGUAGCUUAUAUUUAAGUAAUAAUGGGUUACAAUAAAAAUAUUUAAACGAAUAAAAUAAUGAAAAAAUUUUUGAAGGUGGAUUUGGCAGUAAAAUUAUAAAGAUUAAUAAUUUGAUUUUAGCUCUAAAAUAUGUACACAUCGCCCGUCGCUCUUAUUAUUAAGGUAAGAUAAGUCUAAAACAUA
rnacentral:rRNA from 1 species